AGGAUAGUAGUUUAACUGGAAAAGUAAUUCUGCCACUGUAGUAGUUUUGGGUUCGAAUCCCAACUAUCCUA
rnacentral:tRNA from 1 species